AAGGAGCUUGCUCCUUUGACGUUAGCGGGGAAGGGUGAGUAACACGUGGAUAACCUACCUAUAAGACUGGGAUAACUUCGGGAAACCGGAGCUAAUACCGGAUAACAUAUUGAACCGCAUGGUUCAAUAGUGAAAGGCGGCUUUGCUGUCACUUAUAGAUGGAUCCGCGCCGYAUUAGCUAGUUGGUAAGGUAACGGCUUACCAAGGCAACGAUGCGUAGCCGACCUGAGAGGGUGAUCGGCCACACUGGAACUGAGACACGGUCCAGACUCCUACGGGAGGCAGCAGUAGGGAAUCUUCCGCAAUGGGCGAAAGCCUGACGGAGCAACGCCGCGUGAGUGAUGAAGGUCUUCGGAUCGUAAAACUCUGUUAUCAGGGAAGAACAAAUGUGUAAGUAACUGUGCACAUCUUGACGGUACCUGAUCAGAAAGCCACGGCUAACUACGUGCCAGCAGCCGCGGUAAUACGUAGGUGGCAAGCGUUAUCCGGAAUUAUUGGGCGUAAAGCGCGCGUAGGCGGUUUUUUAAGUCUGAUGUGAAAGCCCACGGCUCAACCGUGGAGGGUCAUUGGAAACUGGAAAACUUGAGUGCAGAAGAGGAAAGUGGAAUUCCAUGUGUAGCGGUGAAAUGCGCAGAGAUAUGGAGGAACACCAGUGGCGAAGGCGACUUUCUGGUCUGUAACUGACGCUGAUGUGCGAAAGCGUGGGGAUCAAACAGGAUUAGAUACCCUGGUAGUCCACGCCGUAAACGAUGAGUGCUAAGUGUUAGGGGUUUCCGCCCCUUAGUGCUGCAGCUAACGCAUUAAGCACUCCGCCUGGGG
rnacentral:rRNA from 1 species